rnacentral:lncRNA from 1 species
UUCGCCAGGAACAGUCCGGUGAGUGUAGCUGUCAAUUCCAAGGAUAUGUGUAUCCUAUAAUUCAUUUAAUUGCUAUUUAUAGGAUGAAGUUCUAACAAAGUAUUCACUCUUUAGCAGUUAGCACUUCUGUUUGAGCACAAUGGGCAUAAUAUAGAUGACUUGUUCUGUAAUGUUGCAGUGCUAAAUAUGAAAUGGGCCACCAUUUGCUCUUACUGGAUGUAGGGUGUGUAGUAUUCCGCUGAUAAUUGCCUUAAUGUAGAUGUUGUAAUUUGGGAGCAUCCAUUUGCUGUAGCUGGUGUAAAUAUGCAUUCAUGCUCAUUCAGAUGCUUGAUCUAGGGGUUGUUCAUGCCAUUUUUUCAGAUGACAUCAUUUACUGGCAUUUUUCUUAUAGCAGUAGAUCUCAAUAUGCAG